UCCUAGGAGGGUCAGGGGCUGCUGAAAACACCAGCUGUCAUCACUUAUCAGAUCAUGUACUAAUUUACUAGCUUUCAUUUAAAUCCCCACCUCCUAAACACAUUAAGAACCUAUUCUGCCCUAGGCACUUUGUCAGGAGCAAGAUUCAGGUUCUGAGGCACAAGGAACCUUUCCCUAGUUGGCUUGACCCUCUGCCCACUUUUUGCUUUGUAUGGGUUCUAAGAACGGUGACAUCCAAAGCUCCAAAAACGCUAGAGCGGUAGGCACACACAUUAAUUCACACACGCCACAAACUCGGCCUGCCCCUGCCCAGCAACCCCACAGGGCGCACCACCGCUAUCUCGACGCGUUUACGCACAGUCCUACUCGCCCGCUGCAGAUAGACCGGUCCCCAAGCAGCCGUCCGGCCCCUCCAGCCCGCGUAGCUGUGAAAUCUGUCCUCGCUCUCUAUCCCCAUUCCCUGCACACAGCCCCAGGCGCUGCGCCGCGCCCCGGCCGGGCCAGUCGGGGAAACUGCGCGCUCAGUCUCGCAAAGGCGCAUCUAGCAAUCACAGACGCUCCGAGGAGGGACGGCGCGCGGGAAACGAAAGCGGCUGGAACACAAACUCAAGUCCCCCAAGGCCGCGGUCGAUCCCCAAGAAGUUGGAAAUCCUCGGGUAGGUCUUCAGCACCAGUGUCCAUAUGGUAGAAGGAACACCCCCAAAUGGCUGCUGCCAGUGUCUACAUUCCCAGGGUGAGCCGCAGUUGCUUCCUGCCUCUCUAGAAGACUCUUCAAGACUAGAGCCCACCAGGCUCCUCCGUCCAUGAGAUUUCCCAGACAAGAAUACUGGAAUGG